AUUGAACGCUGGCGGCAGGCCUAACACAUGCAAGUCGAGCGAGCGGCGGACGGGUGAGUAAUGUCUGGGAAACUGCCUGAUGGAGGGGGAUAACUACUGGAAACGGUAGCUAAUACCGCAUACCAUCAGAUGUGCCCAGAUGGGAUUAGCUAGUAGGUGGGGUAACGGCUCACCUAGGCGACGAUCCCUAGCUGGUCUGAGAGGAUGACCAGCCACCAUGGUACUGAGACACGGUCCUGACUCCUACGGGAGGCAGCAGGGGGGAAUAUUGCACAAUGGGAGCAAGCCUGAAGGAGCCAUGCCGCGUGUGUGAAGAAGGCCUUCGGGUUGUAAAGCAAUUUCAGCGGGGAGGCGUUACCCGCAGAAGAAGGACCGGCUUACUCCGUGCCAGCAGCCGCGGUAAUUC
rnacentral:rRNA from 1 species